AUGAACGCUGGCGGCGUGCCUAAUACAUGCAAGUCGAGCGCACGGACGAGAAGCUUGCUUCUCUGAUGUUAGCGGCGGACGGGUGAGUAACACGUGGAUAACCUACCUAUAAGACUGGGAUAACUUCGGGAAACCGGAGCUAAUACCGGAUAAUAUUUUGAACCGCAUGGUUCAAAAGUGAAAGACGGUCUUGCUGUCACUUAUAGAUGGAUCCGCGCUGCAUUAGCUAGUUGGUAAGGUAACGGCUUACCAAGGCAACGAUGCAUAGCCGACCUGAGGGGGUGAUCGGCCACACUGGAACUGAGACACGGUCCAGACUCCUACGGGAGGCAGCAGUAGGGAAUCUUCCGCAAUGGGCGAAAGCCUGACGGAGCAACGCCGCGUGAGUGAUGAAGGUCUUCGGAUCGUAAAACUCUGUUAUUAGGGAAGAACAUAUGUGUAAGUAACUGUGCACAUCUUGACGGUACCUAAUCAGAAAGCCACGGCUAACUACGUG
rnacentral:rRNA from 1 species